rnacentral:rRNA from 1 species
UGCAAGUCGAACGAACUCUGGUAUUGAUUGGUGCUUGCAUCAUGAUUUACAUUUGAGUGAGUGGCGAACUGGUGAGUAACACGUGGGAAACCUGCCCAGAAGCGGGGGAUAACACCUGGAAACAGAUGCUAAUACCGCAUAACAGCUUGGACCGCAUGGUCCGAGUUUGAAAGAUGGCUUCGGCUAUCACUUUUGGAUGGUCCCGCGGCGUAUUAGCUAGAUGGUGAGGUAACGGCUCACCAUGGCAAUGAUACGUAGCCGACCUGAGAGGGUAAUCGGCCACAUUGGGACUGAGACACGGCCCAAACUCCUACGGGAGGCAGCAGUAGGGAAUCUUCCACAAUGGACGAAAGUCUGAUGGAGCAACGCCGCGUGAGUGAAGAAGGGUUUCGGCUCGUAAAACUCUGUUGUUAAAGAAGAACAUAUCUGAGAGUAACUGUUCAGGUAUUGACGGUAUUUAACCAGAAAGCCACGGCUAACUACGUGCCAGCAGCCGCGGUAAUACGUAGGUGGCAAGCGUUGUCCGGAUUUAUUGGGCGUAAAGCGAGCGCAGGCGGUUUUUUAAGUCUGAUGUGAAAGCCUUCGGCUCAACCGAAGAAGUGCAUCGGAAACUGGGAAACUUGAGUGCAGAAGAGGACAGUGGAACUCCAUGUGUAGCGGUGAAAUGCGUAGAUAUAUGGAAGAACACCAGUGGCGAAGGCGGCUGUCUGGUCUGUAACUGACGCUGAGGCUCGAAAGUAUGGGUAGCAAACAGGAUUAGAUACCCUGGUAGUCCAUACCGUAAACGAUGAAUGCUAAGUGUUGGAGGGUUUCCGCCCUUCAGUGCUGCAGCUAACGCAUUAAGCAUUCCGCCUGGGGAGUACGGCCGCAAGGCUGAAACUCAAAGGAAUUGACGGGGGCCCGCACAAGCGGUGGAGCAUGUGGUUUAAUUCGAAGCUACGCGAAGAACCUUACCAGGUCUUGACAUACUAUGCAAAUCUAAGAGAUUAGACGUUCCCUUCGGGGACAUGGAUACAGGUGGUGCAUGGUUGUCGUCAGCUCGUGUCGUGAGAUGUUGGGUUAAGUCCCGCAACGAGCGCAACCCUUAUUAUCAGUUGCCAGCAUUAAGUUGGGCACUCUGGUGAGACUGCCGGUGACAAACCGGAGGAAGGUGGGGAUGACGUCAAAUCAUCAUGCCCCUUAUGACCUGGGCUACACACGUGCUACAAUGGAUGGUACAACGAGUUGCGAACUCGCGAGAGUAAGCUAAUCUCUUAAAGCCAUUCUCAGUUCGGAUUGUAGGCUGCAACUCGCCUACAUGAAGUCGGAAUCGCUAGUAAUCGCGGAUCAGCAUGCCGCGGUGAAUACGUUCCCGGGCCUUGUACACACCGCCCGUCACACCAUGAGAGUUUGUAACACCCAAAGUCGGUGGGGUAACCUUUUAGGAACCAGCCGCCUAAGG